UGCCCCGUGGUGUAACGGUAGCACUAGUGGUUCUGGUCCACUCAGCCAAGGUUCGAAUCCUUGCGGGGUAACCA
rnacentral:tRNA from 1 species